UACGAAGGGGGCUAGCGUUGUUCGGAAUUACUGGGCGUAAAGGGCGCGUAGGCGGUGUGUCAAGUCAGGCGUGAAAGCCCCGGGCUCAACCUGGGAACCGCGCUUGAGACUGGCACGCUCGAGUUCGGGAGAGGAUGGUGGAAUUCCCAGUGUAGAGGUGAAAUUCGUAGAUAUUGGGAAGAACACCGAUGGCGAAGGCAGCCAUCUGGACCGACACUGACGCUGAGGAGCGAAAGCGUGGGUAGCAAACAGG
rnacentral:rRNA from 1 species